GUAUUUUUGCCCACCUGUCACACAAUCUCAUUACCCAUCUGUCUGUUUAACUUGUGCUAAUUUCCAAUUAAAUUUCAAAUAGAGGUAAAUGCAUUCCGUAAGUGUGUGAGAGAGGCUCAGCUUAAGGGGAAGGUGUGAAAAACUUGGCCAUCAUCAGCCCUCAUUUAAAGAGUGUCUGAGUAAGUGGAACCUGCAGUUGGCUGAUAACCAGCGUGCACUAAGAUCAGUUCUAGACAUGCUCUGCUUUGCCUUCUUCCCAGGUGACAGACCAAAACACCAUGAAGAAUGCCUUGGGACAAAGAGUGGAAGCUGAGUGUAAAUGCACAGGCAGCACUGGGGACAAAAAGCACUGACUAGAGGCAGUGAUGUGACACAUUGUGAAAAUCAUUGUCUGGCAAUCCAGACAGAAGAAUGCUGUUUUGGCAUACCGAAUGAAAUCUUUGAGCUGUGCUGUGACUAUAGAAGCCAACACUCUGCUAGAUGGAAUGGAGAAAAGGAUUAAGCACAAUAUUCAACACUGCAUUGUGAAGAAAGAGAUAAGAAUACCUGGAAAACAUAAAGUACGGA
rnacentral:lncRNA from 1 species